rnacentral:rRNA from 1 species
AAGAUGGCGACCGGCGCACGGGUGAGUAACACGUAUCCAACCUGCCGAUAGCUCCGGAAUAGCCUUUCGAAAGAAAGAUUAAUACCGGAUAGUAUACGAAUAUCGCAUGAUAUUUUUUUUAAAGAAUUUCGGUUAUCGAUGGGGAUGCGUUCCAUUAGUUUGUUGGCGGGGUAACGGCCCACCAAGACUACGAUGGAUAGGGGUUCUGAGAGGAAGGUCCCCCACAUUGGAACUGAGACACGGUCCAA